rnacentral:lncRNA from 1 species
UAAAUAAAUAAAAAUAAAAUAAAAAUAAAAAGACUAGUAGGAAAUACAUGAUUUGGAAAUAAAAAAUAUUCACUAGAUUGAUGAUGCUAAUUGGCUUUUUACAAACCUAGGAAGAAAAAUAUGUUGCAAACAUGGAGGAAAGAUGAUGGCCUCCUUCAACAGAACUAUGAGUUGUCCAAGAUUUCACAAAGUUCUUCAAGCAUGGCAUUUGAUGAUGAGCCCUAAGAUGACUUGAGCCUCACGUCAACUCUCUUUGCUACACGCCCCUCUUUGGAGACCACCACUUCAUGCAAUGGGGAGUGACAUUAGGGCUGAACUUUAAGAAAGAGAACUCUGACAGUAAUGAGAAGACAGAAAAAGAGAAUGACCAGAUAUCCAAAAUGGGAUCGUAGCAUCGAACAUGAGAAGGCCAUGCAUAAGAUGGGUUUAGAAAGACUUGGAUUCAACAAGAGCCUCCAUUCUCCCCUUAUUGCAAUCACCAUGUGAAAAGAAGGUAAUUUGCAUUUGGUUCAUUAUCCUUAAAAGGAAGCAAUUUUCAAAGAGGUGGAAAGAUCGUUUUUUUGUUUUGUUUUGUUUUGUUUUGUUUCAACUCCUAAGGAAAUCCUUCACUCUGGUGGCACGGGUUUUCCACAUGCAAAAUGCAAGUGCAGUCAUAAACUGAAAUUUUUUCUGAAAUGGAUUUACUAGGGAAAGUUACAAACUUAACAAGAUGUCACAUCUCUGCCUCAGACCAAUCCACUCAACAGUACCUAGUUAAGGUGUCAGAGGCUCUUUACUUUAGCAAAAAGAAGCUAAAUUUUUUUUAUUUGCUUGCUAAUUAGGGGUUUCUGUGACUACCCAAAGAUGCACA